GACGAACGCUGGCGGCGUGCUUAACACAUGCAAGUCGAACGGAAAGGCCCUGCUUUUGUGGGGUGCUCGAGUGGCGAACGGGUGAGUAACACGUGAGUAACCUGCCCUUGACUUUGGGAUAACUUCAGGAAACUGGGGCUAAUACCGGAUAGGAGCUCCUGCUGCAUGGUGGGGGUUGGAAAGUUUCGGCGGUUGGGGAUGGACUCGCGGCUUAUCAGCUUGUUGGUGGGGUAGUGGCUUACCAAGGCUUUGACGGGUAGCCGGCCUGAGAGGGUGACCGGCCACAUUGGGACUGAGAUACGGCCCAGACUCCUACGGGAGGCAGCAGUGGGGAAUAUUGCACAAUGGGCGGAAGCCUGAUGCAGCAACGCCGCGUGCGGGAUGACGGCCUUCGGGUUGUAAACCGCUUUCGCCUGUGACGAAGCGUGAGUGACGGUAAUGGGUAAAGAAGCACCGGCUAACUACGUGCCAGCAGCCGCGGUGAUACGUAGGGUGCGAGCGUUGUCCGGAUUUAUUGGGCGUAAAGGGCUCGUAGGUGGUUGAUCGCGUCGGAAGUGUAAUCUUGGGGCUUAACCCUGAGCGUGCUUUCGAUACGGGUUGACUUGAGGAAGGUAGGGGAGAAUGGAAUUCCUGGUGGAGCGGUGGAAUGCGCAGAUAUCAGGAGGAACACCAGUGGCGAAGGCGGUUCUCUGGGCCUUUCCUGACGCUGAGGAGCGAAAGCGUGGGGAGCGAACAGGCUUAGAUACCCUGGUAGUCCACGCUGUAAACGGUGGGUACUAGGUGUGGGGUCCAUUCCACGGGUUCCGUGCCGUAGCUAACGCUUUAAGUACCCCGCCUGGGGAGUACGGCCGCAAGGCUAAAACUCAAAGGAAUUGACGGGGCCCCGCACAAGCGGCGGAGCAUGCGGAUUAAUUCGAUGCAACGCGUAGAACCUUACCUGGGUUUGACAUGGAUCGGGAGUGCUCAGAGAUGGGUGUGCCUCUUUUGGGGUCGGUUCACAGGUGGUGCAUGGCUGUCGUCAGCUCGUGUCGUGAAAUGUUGGGUUAAGUCCCGCAACGAGCGCAACCCUUGUUCACUGUUGCCAGCACGUUAUGGUGGGGACUCAGUGGAGACCGCCGGGGUCAACUCGGAGGAAGGUGGGGAUGACGUCAAGUCAUCAUGCCCCUUAUGUCCAGGGCUUCACGCACGCUACAAUGGCUGGUACAGAGAGUGGCGAGCCUGUGAGGGUGAGCGAAUCUCGGAAAGCCGGUCUCAGUUCGGAUUGGGGUCUGCAACUCGACCUCAUGAAGUCGGAGUCGCUAGUAAUCGCAGAUCAGCAACGCUGCGGUGAAUACGUUCCCGGGGCU
rnacentral:rRNA from 1 species